AUUGAACGCUGGCGGCAUGCUUUACACAUGCCAGUCGAGCGGUAACAGGCCUUCGGGUGCUGACGAGUGGCGAACGGGUGAGUAAUGCAUCGGAACGUACCCAGAGGUGGGGGAUAACGCAGCGAAAGCUGUGCUAAUACCGCAUGUGAUCUGAGGAUGAAAGCGGGGGACCGAGCAGCAAUGUUUGGCCUCGCGCCUUUGGAGCGGCCGAUGUCGGAUUAGCUAGUUGGUGGGGUAAAGGCCUACCAAGGCGACGAUCCGUAGCUGGUCUGAGAGGACGACCAGCCACACUGGGACUGAGACACGGCCCAGACUCCUACGGGAGGCAGCAGUGGGGAAUGUUGGACAAUGGGCGCAAGCCUGAUCCAGCAAUGCCGCGUGCGGGAAGAAGGCCUUCGGGUUGUAAACCGCUUUUGGCAGGAACGAAACGGUGUCCGCUAAUACCGGGCGCUAAUGACGGUACCUGCAGAAUAAGCACCGGCUAACUACGUG
rnacentral:rRNA from 1 species